CGGGGUGCAGCAGGCGCGAAAACUUUGCAAUACACGAAAGUGUGACAGGGUCAUCCCGAGUGCCGACCGCUGAGGUUGGCUUUUACCCAGUCUAGAAAGCUGGGGGAAUAAGGAGAGGGCAAGUCUGGUGUCAGCCGCCGCGGUAAUACCAGCUCUCCGAGUGGUGUGGACGUUUAUUGGGCCUAAAGCAUCCGUAGCUGGCUGAACAAGUCCCCUGUUAAACCCACCGAUUUAAUCGUUGGUCUGCGGGGGAUACUGCUCGGCUAGGGGACGAGAGAGGCAGACGGUAUUCCCGGGGUAGGGGUGAAACCCUAUAAUCCCGAGAAGACCACCAGUGGCGAAGGCUGUCUGCUAGAACGCGCCCGACGGUGAGGGAUGAAAGCUGGGGGAGCGAACCGGAUUAGAUACCCGGGUAGUCCCAGCUGUAAACGAUGCAGACUAGGUGUUUGGACGGCCACGUGCCGUUCUAGUGCCGCAGGGAAGCUGUUAAGUCUGCCGCCUGGGGAGUACGAUCGCAAGAUUGAAACUUAAAGGAAUUGGCGGGGGAGCACAAGGGCGAUUGCGG
rnacentral:rRNA from 1 species